CAGGACAGGUGCAGGUGCCUGAAGAAGAAAUUGAGCAAAACGGCCAAAACAGGAGCAAAGGCAGCCACAAAACAGUGUGCAUGAAUGGCACAGAGGCAGGACAGUUUAACAGCAAGGUCAAAAAUGAACGGAGGUCGAGCUCUUCUUCCAAUCCAUCCCGCAAAGCCUCCACCAGUAGCAGCAAAAUUCGGAAACUCUCUGCAUGUAAACAGCAAUGACCCAUCUGUAAACUCUGUGUGAUUUAAUAUUGUGAUAUGAUACGAUCAAGACAUUAAAGCCUCCCAAAAAGAAUGGUAGGUCACUCAUAUUUUGCGCUGGGUGAUUAUUGUCAUAUAAACUUUGUUUAAUUAUUUAGAAAACAGCCUCUGUUUCUGUUCUUUUUAUAUAUAUAUAUAUAUAUAUAUAUACUUGAAAGUGAUUUAUUUUUCUGUAAACAUACUAGACUUGUGUGACAGAAUGACAUUACUUUUAUUUCAGUUCAUUUUUUAAAAAAAGGGUAGCAAUCCCAUUCAUUUGUCACUUAAGAUGAAAUUAAGGGAAUGGGUAUAAUAUAUAUUUUACAAUACAUAUUUCGUUAUGUUUGUAACCAUACCAACCCUUUUUUGUUUUUUUUUCAAUUUCCUGUACUUUCGAUUUGCUGUACUUUGAGAACCUCUUAUGCAAAAAGAGUAUUCUUAGUAUUGAAAGAGCUGGAAUGAUUUGUCAGAGCUUUUGAGGUUGGCCGUCCUUCAAAGCUCCUAAUAGCUGGUAGCCAGUCUAAUGUUGAGCUGCUUUUUAAACAAGAAUUGUGAUAUGGUGGAAUAGAUUUUAAUUUCACUGCUUGGUGGAAAACUGCUGGUUGAGAAUCACCCUACUGAUACGCCUUAUUUAUGUUGAUGUAAAGGAAAAAACAGCAGUGCAUAUAAUGGAUAGUCACUCUGCCACCGUCAGAUUUAUACCUGGUAGUGAAACGUAAAAUCUCUCCCAAUCUCAAGUAGUAGAGUCAUGUACUCGCUGAGAAUUGUUCCUGCCCCAUAUAUGGUUUACGUCUGAGUCAGCUUCGGAUUCUGUCUGAGAAAAUGAACUGCAAGGAAUAUUUAGGUGGCUCAGACAGCAGUAGUGUUUCCUGCACAGCUUCCAGGAGUAAUUUUCAACAUGCAAGAUGAGACUGAUAGCCUUUUCUGCUCCUGAACGCUUUGCAUCAACCACCCAGAAAUCUAGAGUAUGUUAUACAUGUGGUUAGUAGAUUUGACUGAUAUGUUUUGGGACUUGAAGCAUGUAACUGUAGCUUUUUGCUGGGGAUUACUCUACACUGCCAUGUUACAUAGCUUUUGUCCUCUGAAUUCUAAUUUUGUGAAACAGGAUUGUAAUUUUAAGAAUUGAACCUGUUAAAGGAGCAGUACGUUAGAUGUUUUAUGUUUUUAAAAUUAAAUUAUUACAUGCUGUCCUCCUUCCUAAUGUAUUCUUUUAUAAAUUGGUACAGUUAUCAAAGCAUAUUCUCAAUCCAGUCUUUGCAGUUUCCAAGGAAGAACUAUCAUUCUUCUAUACUACAGCUGGUUAUAAAUGUGCAGCUGCAGUUCCCACUUUCAAACCAAAUCAAUAGCGCUGGUGCUACCUGAACAAAAUGACUUUUUAUUUUUCAUUAUUGUUUUCAUGUGUGUAGGUGCACUUGACUGUUUGUUAGCAGUAGACUAAUAACUAGCCAUUCUGCCUCUAACCAGCCUAGACUCAGGACGUGCUGCUCCUUGAAGUUGGCAAAUAAAAGUUUUUUUUUUAAUGAUUACUUUUGUAUGUUGAAAAAUGUAUAGCAAACCACAGUUUUGGUAGAAAAUAGUUGGUGAUUGAAAGUUCACAGCUGCUUUGAAAACCAUAUUUGAAGACUAAAUUAAAUGGAACAUAUUUGUAAAUGAA